CUACUAUCUGGCGCCGGGUUCAAGGUGAUCAGGAAUGCUCUGACUCCGAGUGGAGGCUCACCAUUGCACCUAGGUGGGUUGAAACUCGUGACGAACCGUAAUCGGGUGCGCUCGGGCGUGUAGUUUUUGUCAGUGGGGAGAUCUCACAGUCCUCCCUU
rfam:Schistosoma margrebowiei strain Zambia genome assembly, scaffold: SMRZ_scaffold0000226